rnacentral:lncRNA from 1 species
AAGAAAUUGAAAUUAAAAAACUACAAACAAGAAAGAUGAGCAAAUUGAAAUUAAAGAAUAACUGAAAAACCAGAACUCAACAUAUAAGCACCGAUUCAUCAUUAUUAAAUUCUCAUAACUUGGUUGGAAUGGAGGAAAAUACACAGGUACAAGAGGAAAAAGAAACAAAGGAAAAAACAGUAGUUUCUGAAAGGGGUAAAAAAAGACUAGGUACAAAUCAAACAAACAUCUCCAUAGGAGGAGUAAUUAUAUGUUGGCUGGCCAUAAGGGUGAAAUUCAGUAGCCUUCUGGCUUGUAGGCGAUGAAACUGAUGCACUGCACUUGACGAACGUUAUCGAAUCCGAUAAUACGGAUCCAGGCCUGUGGGUAAGCCUUCUUGGCCUCUUGGACCUCAUUCAACACCUGGGUAGCGUCAGUGCACCCAAACAUGGGCAACUUCCACAUU